rnacentral:ncRNA from 13 species
AUAGAAUGGCAAGCUUGCAGUGCGAGGAAGCCGGUGUGAGCCCGGCACGGUCGCGCCACUGUGAGCGGUUCGUCAGCCGAGGAGCGAGACGCCGCGAGUCAGACCCCGCUGCAAGCUCUUCGUCAAUC